rnacentral:rRNA from 1 species
ACGCACGCUGGCGGCAUGCCUAACCCCUGCAAGUCGAACGAGACCUUCGGGUCUAGUGGCGCACGGGUGCGUAACGCGUGGGAACCUGCCCUUAGGUUCGGAAUAACUCCCCGAAAGGGGUGCUAAUACCGGAUAAUGUCUUCGGACCAAAGAUUUAUCGCCUUUGGAUGGGCCCGCGUUGGAUUAGCUAGUUGGUAGGGUAAAAGCCUACCAAGGCGACGAUCCAUAGCUGGUCUGAGAGGAUGAUCAGCCACACUGGGACUGAGACACGGCCCAGACUCUCAGGGGGGGGCGCAGGGGGGAAUAUUGGAAAAUGGGCGAAAGCCUAAUCCAGCAAGGCCGCGUGAGUGAUGAAGGCCUUAGGGUUGAAAAGCUCUUUUACCCGGGAUGAAAAUACCAGUCCCGGGAAAAAAAGCCCCGGUAACCCCGGG